rnacentral:rRNA from 1 species
UACGUAGGUGACAAGCGUUGUCCGGAUUUACUGGGCGUAAAGAGCGCGCAGGCGGUCGACCAAGUCGAGUGUGAAAGCCCCGGCUCAACUGGGGACGGUCAUUCGAUACUGAUCGAUCGAAGGCAGGAGAGGUAGUGGAAUUCCCGGUGUAGUGGUGAAAUGCGUAGAUAUCGGGAGGAACACCAGUGGCGAAGGCGACUACCUGGCCUGUUCUUGACGCUGAGGCGCGAAAGCUAGGGAGCAACGGG